rnacentral:rRNA from 1 species
AUUGAACGCUGGCGGCAUGCCUUACACAUGCAAGUCGAACGGCAGCACGGGUGCUUGCACCUGGUGGCGAGUGGCGAACGGGUGAGUAAUACAUCGGAACAUGUCCUGUAGUGGGGGAUAGCCCGGCGAAAGCCGGAUUAAUACCGCAUACGAUCCACGGAUGAAAGCGGGGGACCUUCGGGCCUCGCGCUAUAGGGUUGGCCGAUGGCUGAUUAGCUAGUUGGUGGGGUAAAGGCCUACCAAGGCGACGAUCAGUAGCUGGUCUGAGAGGACGACCAGCCACACUGGGACUGAGACACGGCCCAGACUCCUACGGGAGGCAGCAGUGGGGAAUUUUGGACAAUGGGCGAAAGCCUGAUCCAGCAAUACCGCGUGUGUGAAGAAGGCCUUCGGGUUGUAAAGCACUUUUGUCCGGAAAGAAAUCCUUGACUCUAAUACAGUCGGGGGAUGACGGUACCGGAAGAAUAAGCACCGGCUAACUACGUG